rnacentral:rRNA from 1 species
AUGAAGAAAAUGAGAUCUCAUUCAGCAGAAGAUGCCUUCUCGAAGCCAAACAGGAUAGUGGUCCUAAAGCCAAGUCCUGGGAAACCUAACAGAGCACAUGCCAGGCUAACUCCCAGAUCAUCUCCAUUUGAACUGAUUCAGCGGACAGCCUUUCUUGGUGAUUUACAGGAUGGUACAUCCACCCUAGGAUGUACAGAAGUAUCGGGUGCUUCGGCUCAAUACCUGCCAGAAGAUCGACGGCGGCGGGAUGAGUCUCUACUGUCUUCUGUAUACUCAAAUGGGUAUAAUGGAGAUGAGAGCUCUUUAAGCAGGUCAGAAGGUGAUAACAUUGAUGAAGAUGGUGGUAGCCUAAGUGACUCGGAGGUAGUCAGUCCAGUGUCGCGGCAUUCAUGGGAUUAUAUCAAAAGAUAUAGCAGUACUUACUCAUCUUCAACUCAUAGCAGGGCAUCUCAUUCACAUUCAGCUGAGUCAUCUGUGAUCAAAGAAGCCAAAAGGCGACUUUCCGAGAGAUGGACAACGGUAGCAUGUGAUGAGAUCAGACAAGAAGUAAAGUUGCCAAGGACCUCAAGAACUCUGGGUGACAUGCUCUCCAUCAAAGAAACUGAGAAAGAGGAAACUGUUACUGUAAUAAACUCUGCUUCAAGUAGCCGGUCGUGUGGCACAAAAAAUGAGUUGGCCAUGCAAGCUAGUUCCGUAUCUACAUUAAGAGAGGAUGAAACCGGGGAGAGCUCUCCAAGAAAUUUAGCGAGAUCAAAAUCUCUCCCGGUGUCAUCAGCAAUGUUUGAUAACAUGGUGGUGUCUGCAAAUUCUGAAGGCUGUGAAACACCGAAGGUGGAUACAAGGCAAGGUAAAGGAAAAUUAUCAUUCAAGGGGAAAGUAUCAAGUUUUUUCUUCCCUAGAAGUAAAAGGCUGGCAGAGGAGAAAACUACCGUUCCUUCUGAUAGCGGUGAGAAGGUUCAAGUCACUUUUCUUGACGACAAGCGAUCAGAGACCAAUAGUGACCUUCAAUUUGAUGAGCAAAUAGCAUUUUGCAAGGACAAAGCUGACAAUUCCACCAUACAAACAAAUUGUUCUUUAAAUCAGGAGGAUGUUGGUUCCAUGGAAGCACCUGUGUCUUCUGACUGCCCUAGUGGAUAUACUGAUGAACCCGUAUCAAACGGUGGCCUAAAAUGCAUGCGUGAUCAGCCUAGUCCUACUUCAGUUCUGGAUGCAUCAUUUGAAGCUAGCAACACUAAUGAACCUGAAUCAUCAAGUAGUACCAGUGCCUGCAAUGAGAGAGCUGCCUUACGAUCUCGUGCAAUUGAGUCUGUUCCCCGCUCGUUAUCAUGCAAGGACACAUACUCACAUUCGCCAUUACACAUGCAUCAUCUGAAUUCCUCAAAUGCAGAGGAUAAUGAAUCAGAAUGUUAUGCCCUUGUACAGAAGAUACUAUCAUCUGCUGGAUUAGACAACCUACAAGUGAGUAUGGUUUUCACAGGUUGGCAUUUGGCCGAUUGCCCUCUUGAUCCCGCACUGUGUGAUAAGUUCCUGGACCGCAAGGAGGAGGCUGCUAAAUCGAGGGAGCGUAGGUCAAACCAAAAGCUUCUCUUCGAUUGUGUAAACAUGGCAUUGGUUGAGACUGGCCAGGAAGCCUUGCUAAGAACCUACCCAUGGGGUAAAGCAUGCUUCGGAGCACGGAGCGAGGCAUUGUCUCAAGAUUUAGGGGAAGAAGUAUGGAGCCAUGUGAGGGAUUGGCUGUACAGGGCGGAGAGGCUCGCGGCCAAUGAGUGUAGUGAUGCUGCAAUGAUGCUGGAAAGAAUCGUGCAUCAAGAGGUGGAAGGAGGAGGCUGGGUGAAAUCAGCGAGGUCGGAAGCGGAUGAGAUGACGAAACAGAUUGCAGAUGGCCUGUUGGUGGAGCUAGUCGGAGAAGCUGUGGCGGAUCUCGCAGUUUGUUUUCCACAGCAAGAUCUCGCAGUGCCAAUGCCAAUGCCAAAUCUGUAG